rnacentral:tRNA from 1 species
GCUUUGGUGGUUCAGUGGUAGAAUUCUCCCCUUCCAUGUGAGAGACCCAGGGUCGAUUCCCAGCCAGGGUA